rnacentral:rRNA from 1 species
GACGAACGCUGGCGGCGUGCUUAACACAUGCAAGUCGAACGGUGAAGCGCUUUCCUUUUUGGUUGGUGUGGAUGAGUGGCGAACGGGUGAGUAACACGUGAGUAACCUGCCCCCUUCUUCUGGAUAACCGCAUGAAAGUGUGGCUAAUACGGGAUAUUCUGCGCCUGCUGCAUGGUGGGUGUGGGAAAGAUUGUGCCUUUGGGUGUUUUCGGUGGGGGAUGGGCUCGCGGCCUAUCAGCUUGUUGGUGGGGUGAUGGCCUACCAAGGCGGUGACGGGUAGCCGGCCUGAGAGGGUGGACGGUCACACUGGGACUGAGACACGGCCCAGACUCCUACGGGAGGCAGCAGUGGGGAAUAUUGCACAAUGGGCGCAAGCCUGAUGCAGCGACGCCGCGUGAGGGAUGGAGGCCUUCGGGGUGUGAACCUCUUUCGCCAGUGAAGCAGGCCUGCUCCGUGUGGGUGGGUUGACGGUAGCUGGAUAAGAAGCGCCGGCUAACUACGUG